rnacentral:rRNA from 1 species
GACGUAGGGGGCGAGCGUUGUCCGGAAUUACUGGGCGUAAAGAGCACGUAGGCGGAUAAAUAAGUCAGGUGUGAAAGACCGCAGCUCAACUGCGGGGUUGCACAUGAAACUGUAUAUCUUGAGGGCAGGAGAGGUCAGUGGAAUUCCUGGUGUAGCGGUGAAAUGCGUAGAAAUCAGGAGGAACACCGGUGGCGAAGGCGACUGACUGGACUGACCCUGACGCUGAGGUGCGAAAGCGUGGGUAGCAAACAGGAUUAGAUACCCUGGUAGUCCACGCUGUAAACGAUGGAUACUAGGUGUGGGAGGUAUCGACCCCUUCCGUGCCGGAGCAAACGCAAUAAGUAUCCCGCCUGGGGAGUACGGUCGCAAGGCUGAA